AUUUAUAUAGUUUAAAAAAAACAUUUUAUUUUCAAUAAAAAAAUAAAUUUUAUUUUAUAAAUA
rnacentral:tRNA from 1 species